AGGUGAGACCUGGAGACUUGGAACCGCCCCUGGUGGGCGGAGCUGGUCUGUGCUCCUUUCAUAAGCGCAGGUGUGGGCAAUUAGGUAUUCCUCAGCAAACCUGAAGCUGCAAGUGUGUGGUCCAAGUUGGGCAAGUUGGUGUUAACUUCUGUCUAUGAAAGUCUGAUAUGGGUCCUCCCCUAAACUUCUAUUAGAACGGUGGGAAACAUUGCUCCCGUGAGAACAGUACAGUGGACUUCAUCGCCACUGACCCACAGUUAUUUGGGUGUGAUACGAACUUGUGGACAGAGUACCGAGCUGCUGCUUUGCCAGGUGGAUUUCUGGUUGCGGGCAAAGGACCCGACACAUCAGUGUUUUAAUUUGUUUUAAACUGGUGUAAGUCGACGGCCCGACUGCUGCGGCUGUCGAUUGUUUUGUUUUUGUUUUAUUUUUUUCUGUAUCAGUAGGCACUACCAAUAUUGAUUCUUUUAGUAUUUUUAACCCUUUUCUUAAAUGUGUAUAGAUAUAUUGUCGCGAACGGUGAAGGCGCUGCAGGGAGAACAAAUCCUUUUUUUUUCCCUCACCGCUUCUGCAUGCACAGCGGUGGGCCUGAGUGAAGGCGGCACUGAAGCUUUUGUUUUUCUCUAUAGUGUUUUGCCCAUUUGGGGUCGUGUGUCAGUUGCCGUCCCUUUUUAACCUGUGUUAUGUUGAUUUGUUUUUAAUGGUUCCCCGCAGCGCUUGUCCUGUCUCACGGGCAAUCAUACAGUUUUAUCGCUUUUAAAUAAGGUAAAGUUUUUAAUUGUUUUUAAGUGCCGCUGUUACAUUGUUACUUUUAUUUUGUAUUAAAAAUUAAAUUCUUUUUUACUGACUGUGCGCCUACGGCUCUGUCCUAUUUUAAAUAGGUACCUACCACGGGUCACAUGACGUUUACUUAAAAUUUUUGAGGCA